CAAAAAUAAUAAAAUAUAUAAAACUAACAAAAAAAAAUUUAAAACUAACUUGAUAGAAACUUUUAAUAAAUAUAUCAUAAAAAUUUAUUUUAUUUUUUCUACUAUUUAACUAAUAUCUCUUAAUAAAAUUGCAAAAUCUUAUCCAAAACAAUAGAUCUUAAAAAAAAAUGUAAAAAUUAAUAAAAUAUAAUAAUACAAUAAUAUCUUUGAAAAAAAAUUGUAUCACGUAGCAAUAAAAAUAAUACUAAAAUGUAGUAUAAUCGGGUGUAAUUAAGUCAAUAUUAAAAUUAUUUGGAAGUGCUUAUAAAAGCGGUAGACAGUUUACCACUUUUAAAAGCGGUAUACAUUUUCUGAAGUUUGGACUUAGAAAAUUAAUACUUUAUGCAAAUACUGUGAAUCAUUUAUAGCUUUUAGGAAUGCAGAAAUCGAUUUACCGUAUUCUAAAAAUAGUAGACCAUUUAUCAUUUUCUUGUUUAUGGUCCAAGUGAGUCUAUUUAGAAAUGUAUUGAACUUGCUUGAACUACGGAUUUUGAGUUUGCUACUCAAUCUUUCAAAAUUUUGAUUUUACUGUCUAACCUUUCAAUUUGUUUGAUUUGAGUUAGUCAACUGUAUUUUGAUUUCAAUAUUUAAGCUAAUUAUUUAUUUUAAUAAAUUUAUAAUUGUAAAAACUAUAUGAAGUAUACUAAUCAAGUCUGUAAAGAUAAAUAACGUAUUCAAAAUUUGGAGUCAAAGAUCGUUGACUGACUGAGAUUAAACAAAUUGAAAAUUUGAAUAGUAAAAUUAAAAUUUUAAAAUAUUGGGUAGUCGACUUAAAAUGGUCCUUAAUUUAGAUAAGUUAGGUACAUUUUUAUUUUUAGGAAUAUAAGUUUCGGAUGCCU
rnacentral:lncRNA from 1 species